rnacentral:rRNA from 1 species
AGGACGAACGCUGGCGGCGUGCUUAACACAUGCAAGUCGAGCGGAAAGGCCCUUCGGGGUACUCGAGCGGCGAACGGGUGAGUAACACGUGAGCAACCUGCCCUUAGCUUCGGGAUAGCUCCGGGAAACCGGAAUUAAUACCGAAUAUGACUUUGGCUGACAUCAGCAGAAGUGGAAAGUUUUUCGGCUAGGGAUGGACUCGCGGCCUAUCAGCUAGUUGGUGAGGUAACGGCCCACCAAGGCGACGACGGGUAGCCGGCCUGAGAGGGCGACCGGCCACACUGGGACUGAGACACGGCCCAGACUCCUACGGGAGGCAGCAGUGGGGAAUAUUGCGCAAUGGGCGAAAGCCUGACGCAGCGACGCCGCGUGGGGGAUGAAUGCCUUCGGGUUGUAAACCCCUUUCAGCAGGGACGAAGCGAAAGUGACGGUACCUGCAGAGAAGCGCCGGCUAACUACGCGCCAGCAGCCGC